rnacentral:rRNA from 1 species
CAGUAGCGUAUAUUAAAGUUGUUGCAGUUAAAAAGCUCGUAGUUGGAUUUCUGAACGACCGCACUGGCCCGCCUUCGAUAAGAGGGUGUGUUGCCGGUAUGAGUUGUUCAUCCUUUCAGAGAGCCGACGCCUACCAUUCACUUGGUCGGGCUCGUGCGAUCUGGAUCUUUUACUUUGAAAAAUUAGAGUGUUUAAAGCAGGCUUACGCUAUGAAUACAUUAGCAUGGAAUAAUAAGAUAGGACUUGGGUUUUAUUUUGUUGGUUUCUAAAACUGAAGUAAUGAUUGAUAGGGACAGUUGGGGGUGCUAGUAUUCAGCGGCCAGAGGUGAAAUUCUUGGAUUCGCUGAAGACUAACUACUGCGAAAGCAUUCACCAAGGAUGUCUUCUUUAAUCAAGAACGAAAGUUGGGGGAUCGAAGAUGAUCAGAUACCGU